rnacentral:lncRNA from 1 species
UGUUCCUAUCAUUUUGACUAACCUUUGACAAUGUUUAUAGUUUUUUUUCGAAGACCUAAUUUAAAGAAUAGUUUUAGCCUGCCUUUGAACUAAUUUAUAACUAUCAAUCUGUUAUGAGAAAAUGUAGGUUAAAUUGCUAAAAAUGAAAACUUUUCAGCCAAAUAAAACUAUUUGUUUUUAACAAUAGAUGUUAAAUUGAAUCUUACUAAGUUAUUAAAAUGUAACAAAUACUCCUUUAUAACAUUUUAAUAUUUCUUUAAACAUAAAACAUUUCUGGAAUCUGACAUCAUCAGUUAACUAUAGAGUUUAUUAUGUCAUUUGUUGUGCAUGUGUACACAAAAAAGUCUGCACAUAUCAAAUAGGAAGAAAAUCUUACUUUGAAGUCCUGUAUUUUAGUUCCCAGGGCAGCGGCAUUCUCAGCUAACUUUUUUGCACUUCUAUAAGUUCAAAUUCCAUCUAUAUCCCUUUCUAUUUGUUUAUUUUAACUUUUUCAUGAACUUCAGAAAUAAAAUGCCAAUUUAAAAAGAUUUUCAUGACCUUUUUUUUUUUUUAUGUAAGCAGGCUA